rnacentral:rRNA from 1 species
CGUUGUCCGGAUUUAUUGGGCGUAAAGCGAGCGCAGGCGGAAAAAUAAGUCUAAUGUGAAAGCCCUCGGCUUAACCGAGGAACUGCAUCGGAAACUGUUUUUCUUGAGUGCAGAAGAGGAGAGUGGAACUCCAUGUGUAGCGGUGGAAUGCGUAGAUAUAUGGAAGAACACCAGUGGCGAAGGCGGCUCUCUGGUCUGCAACUGACGCUGAGGCUCGAAAGCAUGGGUAGCGAACAGGAUUAGAUACCCUGGUAGUCCACGCCGUAAACGAUGAGUGCUAGGUGUUAGGCCCUUUCCGGGGCUUAGUGCCGCAGCUAACGCAUUAAGCACUCCGCCUGGGGAGUACGACCGCAAGGUUGAAACUCAAAGGAAUUGACGGGGGCCCGCACAAGCGGUGGAGCAUGUGGUUUAAUUCGAAGCAACGCGAAGAACCUUACCAGGUCUUGACAUCCCAGUGACCGCUCUAGAGAUAGAGUUUUUCUUCGGAACACUGGUGACAGGUGGUGCAUGGUUGUCGUCAGCUCGUGUCGUGAGAUGUUGGGUUAAGUCCCGCAACGAGCGCAACCCUUAUUGUUAGUUGCCAUCAUUCAGUUGGGCACUCUAGCGAGACUGCCGGUAAUAAACCGGAGGAAGGUGGGGAUGACGUCAAAUCAUCAUGCCCCUUAUGACCUGGGCUACACACGUGCUACAAUGGUUGGUACAACGAGUCGCAAGUCGGUGACGGCAAGCAAAUCUCUUAAAGCCAAUCUCAGUUCGGAUUGUAGGCUGCAACUCGCCUACAUGAAGUCGG